UGCAACUUAGUUUAAUUAGAACAGUUAAUUUGCAUUUAACAAGUGAAAAUAUUCAGUAGCA
rnacentral:tRNA from 2 species